CUUCAGCGAUCCCAGCCACAGAGGCUCCCGCUCCGUCGAGCGCCGUCCGUACGUCGCCAGCAACGCCUGCGCCUC
rfam:Streptomyces cyaneogriseus subsp. noncyanogenus strain NMWT 1, complete genome.